CAGCCGCCGCGGUAAUACAGAGGGUGCGAGCGUUAAUUGGAUUUACUGGGCGUAAAGCGUGCGCAGGCGGUUUUGUAAGACAGAGGUGAAAUCCCCGGGCUCAACCUGGGAACUGCCUUUGUGACUGCAAGGCUAGAGUACGGCAGAGGGGGAUGGAAUUCCGCGUGUAGCAGUGAAAUGCGUAGAUAUGCGGAGGAACACCGAUGGCGAAGGCAAUCCCCUGGGCCUGUACUGACGCUCAUGCACGAAAGCGUGGGGAGCAAACAGGAUUAGAUACCCGAGUAGUCCCUGUCUCUUAUAC
rnacentral:rRNA from 1 species